rnacentral:tRNA from 1 species
UUAAGAAUAAGCUAAAUUAAGCUUUUGGGCUCAUACCUCAAAUAUAAAGAUCUUUCUUUUUCUU